rnacentral:rRNA from 1 species
CUGGGUGUAAGGGUGCGUAGGCGGCUCUGCAAGUCAGGUGUGAAAACUAUCGGCUUAACCGAUAGACUGCAUUUGAAACUGUGGGGCUUGAGUGGAGCAGAGGCAGGCGGAAUUCCCGGUGUAGCGGUGAAAUGCGUAGAGAUCGGGAGGAACACCAGUGGCGAAGGCGGCCUGCUGGGCUUUAACUGACGCUGAGGCACGAAAGCAUGGGUAGCAAACAGGAUUAGAUACCCUGGUAGUCCAUGCCGUAAACGAUGAUUACUAGGUGUGGGGGGUCUGACCCCCUCCGUGCCGGAGUUAACACAAUAAGUAAUCCACCUGGGAAGUACGACCGCAAGGUUGAAACUCAAAGGAAUUGACGGGGGCCCGCACAAGCAGUGGAGUAUGUGGUUUAAUUCGAAGCAACGCGAAGAACCUUACCAGGUCUUGACAUCUACCGAAUCCGGCAGAGAUGCUGGAGUGCCCUUCGGGGAACGGUAAGACAGGUGGUGCAUGGUUGUCGUCAGCUCGUGUCGUGAGAUGUUGGGUUAAGUCCCGCAACGAGCGCAACCCUUGUGAUUAGUUGCUACGUAAGAGCACUCUAAUCAGACUGCCGUUGACAAAACGGAGGAAGGUGGGGACGACGUC